UUUUGCAUCCUCCGGUCAUUUCCUUCUGUUGAAUCCAUCUCUGCAGAUCCCCAGGUCCCCAACGAACUAAUUGUUGGAGCGUUAGUUGGUGGAGUUGUUCUCUCUGCUUUUCUUCAGGUGGCUUUUGACAGGCUGGCUCUUGCAAUGUUCUGGACUUCUUCAAGAAACAGAAAUUGAACCAGACGUUGCUGAAUAAGUUAAAAAUCGUGCUGUUAUCCAUCGACGCUGUAGUUGAUGAUACAGAGCAAAAGCAGAUUUCUAGUCCAAAGGUAAAGGCCUGGAUUGAUAUGGACAAAGAUGCCGUGUUUGAUGCUGAAGAUGUCUUGGAUGAGAUUGACCAUGAAGCGUUCAAGCGCCUGGUGGAAGCUGAAAUUGAGAGUAAAACCAGUGCUAUCGGCAAGACGACGUGUGGAAUGAAAAUUAUAUGCUAUGGGAGGCCUUGCAAUCACCUUUCAAUCAUGGGGCUCCAGGAAGUAAAAUUCUACUAACCACCUGUGGCAGAAAGGUUGUUUCAACCAUGCGUUCUGCUAAAACACUUUCAUUGAAGCCCUUACCAGAAGGAGAUAGCUGGUCGUUAUUCAGUAGGCUCUCAUUCUGUUACUCAACAUAAGUGACUCUUCUGAUAUACCCCUCAUAUUGUUCAAAUGGAAAGGAAGGCUCUUUAUUGUCCACUGAACAUAAGAGUCUCCGCUGAUGUAAACCUCAUUUUGGAAACAUUGAGAUACAACACUGUUUGUCUUUUGUCAUUGUCCAUUGAAUUCAUGGGACUUCAAUGCUGUCUAAGGAAGUAUCGGGGGAAGUAUGCUGGUGCACCUCAAUAGACUUACACGUGAAAGGAAUAAGAGGAAAUCACUCAACUUAGAGCCAGAGAAGGGGCAAAAUAGAGUCGAGUCAGGCCUAAUGUACUCAAGAGGAAACGAAAGUUCUGCUUCAAGUGAGAAAGAUGCAAAUGGUAGAAGACAGUGUCAAGCACCAUUAAUGCUCUGAAAUUAUGGAGCUUUCCAACUGCUCAAAAUUCAUUAAUAAAUACAACUCCCACGAAGCAUUGAUUACCAAGAAGACUAUGUGCUUUUAAAGCUGCUCUGAUAUAUCUUCACAUUCUCUGCGUUUCUAUUAGCGUUGUAUCAUAGACUCCUUUGAAAGUUGAAUCUUUGAAGAGAUGUUGUGAGCAUCAUUUCCUUAGGUUUGCCUUUACAUAACGCUGCAAAGGCCUUGGUGCAUGGUUUGCAAAAGUUUUGAUAAGCUUUAUCAGAGUUAGGGGAAAUAGAGACUCGAUUGCCUUCUUGUACU